UGGGGUGGGGGCUGAAGAUCCGAGGCUGCGCCUGCGCGGGAAGUGGAGGCCCGGCGUGUGGAGGAAGGGCGGCCCUGGCGCGCAGGCUCUGGGGCGCCCAGGGGCACCAAAGCCGUGGAGGGAGGGCGGCUGCCGGGGCCAAGCCUAGGCCCGUGAGGUGCGAUCUAUUGCUGCCAUUUCUUCCUGGUGACCCCCGACUAGAUCCCGACGCCUACCUCUGGGUGGACUGUGCAGGUUUUCUCUCAGAUGUGCUGCUGUAAUAAUGCUGGAGUUAAGAAACUUCCUUUCCUUUGCUCCCAAUCAGAAGAUUUUGCACCCUACGUAUAGAACAGGCAUAAUGUUUAAAAACAACUGGGUGGUGUUUAAAGCUGAAGAUUGUCAUGGCUGUUUAACCUAAGCUCUGUGCUGAAGUAAAGUUAAUUGUCUUGGAAAUACUAAUUUGGGUGAUCUCUUCUUUUUCUUAUGUGAGAGGCAGAGAAAGCGAGAGCUUCCAUCUGCUGGUUCACUCCCCAAGUGCCUGUACUGGCUGUGAGCCAAGAACUCAAUCCAGUUUCCCACAUGGGUGGCAGGAACUCAACCACUUGAGCCAUCACCACUCUCCCCCGGGAUCUACAUUAGGAGGGAGCUGGAGCCAGGCAUCAAAUCCAGGCAUUCCAGUGUGCAGUUGUAGGUACCUUAACCACUAUGCCAAGUGCCAGCCCUGGGUCUCUUCUUUUCUUGUGGGUAGAAUUCUUUUCUUUUUUGGCUAAACCUCAGAAUGGUUAUAGAGUAAAUCAUACAUGUGGUGUUAGUUAGUGUAUCCUUUGAGACUAAUGAAUAUUUGUGUAAUUAAACACCUUUUUUUUUUUUUUUUUUUUUACAAAAUGACCUACUUGUUAUUUUUAAACUAAUGAAUAGUCUUUAAAUGUUCUAUUUCUUAGGCACUGGAGUAUAGACCUGAAAAGCAUGAACUUUGAAAUCAAGCCAACCUGAGUCCAAAAUUUCAGCACUGCCACUUAAUUAACAUUUAGUCACUGGCCGGCGCCGCGGCUCACUAGGCUAAUCCUCCUCCUGUGGCACCGGCACCCCGGGUUCUAGUCCCGGUUGGGGCGCUGGUUCUGUCCCAGUUGCUCCUCUUCCAGUCCAGCUCUCUACUGUGGCCUGGGAAAGCAGCGAAGGAUGACCCAAGUGCUUGGGCCUGCAUCCUUGUGGGAGACCAGGAGGAAGCACCUGGCUCCUGGCUUCGGAUCGGCACAGUGCACCAGCCGUGUCAGCCAUUUGGGGGGUGAACCAACGGAAGGAAGACCUUUCUCUCUGUCUAACGCUGCCUGUGAAAAAAAAAACUUAGUCACUUUAAGCUCCAGUAUAUAUUUUUAAGAUGAGGAUAGUAAUUCCUACUUAAUAACUUCUAAUAAUUAAAUGAGGUGAUGAUUGUAAAGUUCUUAAUCCAGUGCCUAGCAUGUAAUGAGCCCUCAAAAAUAUUUUUAUAAAGAAUUGCUCACAUACUAUAGCUUUUCCUGGUAAUUUUCCUGAUAAUUUUCAUCUUUACCAUCAAUUUAUUCUCUCCUUUUCUCUUGAGAUUCAUAAGUAAUAACUGUCAUUAUUUUCUAAUGGAAACAGAAAAUUGAAUACUAAUUGUUACACCAUAAGCAGUAUGAUUACUCAUAAAGUAGCUGAAGCAGAUAUAAAUUAACAUGUGACAACUGUUAACAGAAUUAGCCUCUGGUUUGGAAGAAUUCAGUUGACCUCCAGUUUGCAUGUAAUUUGUUUAGAAUUUCAAGUAGAGCAUCAGGCAGUAAGUUUUUUUUGUUUGUUUGUUUUUAAAGGUUUAUUUAUUUAUUUAAAAGAGUUGCAGAGAGAAAGAGGAGAGACACAGAGAGAAAGAUCUUUCAUUCUCUGGUUCACUCCCCAAAUGGCCUUAUCAACUGGGAUUUGGCCAGACUGAAGCCGAGAGCCUGGAACUCCAUCCAGGUCUCCCACUGUGGGUGGUAGGAACCUAAAUAUGAGCCCACUGCUUCCUCAAGCACUUUAUUUAUUUAUUUAUUUAUUUAUUAUUUUUUUGACAGGCAGAGUGGACAGUGAGAGAGAGAGAAAAAGGUCUUCCUUUGCCGUUGGUUCACCCUCCAAUGGCUGCCAGCCGGCGGGCUGCGGCCAAAGUACUUGGGCCAUCCUCCACUGCACUCCCUGGCCACAGCAGAGAGCUGGCCUGGAAGAAGGGCAACCGGGACAGAAUCCGGCACCCCGACCGGGACUAGAACCCAGGGGUGCCGGCGCCGCAAGGUGGAGGAUUAGCCUAUUGAGCCACGGAGCCAGCCCAAUGUGUGGAUGUACUUUAAAACCAGCAGUAUUUCUUAAUUUUAUUCCUUUCAUUUAAGUUGUACAAUUCAUGAGCAUAUAAUUUUCAUAAUACUCUUAUUAAGUUUUUAAUUUUACAAUGCAUAUUUACUCACUAUAGAGAUUCUACUGUUAAUAUUUUACUCUUGUCAAUCUCUAUCCAUCCUAUCUGCUCUUUGUUCUUUUGCCUUUCAGACAUGAGUGUUGUCCUUCUCUUUCCUUCUUUGUUCCUCACUGUGUUAAACCAGUGCUUCUUUGAAACUGGUUGAAUCUCAUGUCUUUCAGCUCUGUGAAUUGUUUAUAGUUUCAAAGUCAUUCUCUUCCCAUACUUACAGAAUUUCACCUUGCACAUGUAUGGCCUCCUACUCAACCAUAGAAUCAAGGACACAUCCUCCCCUGCAAAUGUCUGGCAUUCUCUCAAUUUAACUCCCUCCUCCCAUAGAAAUAAUACUCUGCUCUGUAAAUUCCAAUCACUUCUGCCUUUCCAGACUGAUCUCUUCCACUCAGACUACAAUAAUCUAUUUGGGGACCCCCCCCCCAUAUACCUUAGGCUAAAAAGUGUUGCCAGCAGAAAAACAGACAAUUAUAGAGCUCAUUUGUGAUAAUACUGUACUGCAUGUUGUCAAUGCCUGGGAACUUAUUUCAUAUAUUUUGCCCAGUUUCUUGUUUAUAGUGAGUUAUUCCAGUUCCAGUUGCUCCACAAUUCUAGCAUAUUAUUUUUUAAGGAUUUAUAUUAUAUUUAUUUGAAAAGCAGAGUUACAGAGAUGGGGGGAGAUAGAGGGAGAGAUCUUCCAUCUGUUGGUUCACUCCCCAGGUGGCCAUAAAGCCUGGGGCUGGGCCAGGCAGAAGCCAAAAACCACAAGCUUCUGAGUCUUCCACGGGGGUGCUGGGGCCCAAGGAUUUAUGCCGUCUUUUGCUAUUUUCCCAGGUGCAUUAGCAGGGAGCUGGAUCGGAAGUGAAACAGCUAGGACGCAAACUGGUGCCCAUAUGGGAUGCUGGUGUCGCAAGUGGUGGCUUAAUCCACUAUGCCACAAUACUGGCCCCUCAUUUUUUUUCCAAAUGCAGCAUAGUGGUUAAAUAUUUUGGACUAGAAAGAUCUGACUUCCAAUUCUUGCCCCAUAUUGAGUAAAUUUUCUCAAUACCUCAGUUUCCUUUUCUGUGAAAUGCAGAUAAUACAAUGCGCCUAUUUCCUAAAAUUAUUGUAAAUAUUGAAACAUUUUAUUUAGUUUGCUUUGUCUGCUAUAACAGAUUACCACAAACCAGGUGGCUUAGAACAAUAGAAAUUUAUUUUGCAAAGUUAUAGAGACCAAAAGUCCAAAACAGUUUCCCUGGCCUGAAAUCAAGAUUCUCAGCAGGGCCACCGUUUUAACGGGGCCCUAGGAAAGAAUCCAUUCCUUGCUGCCUCCAUCUUCUGGCUGCCAGUUUUCCACUUAUGCUUGCAUCACUCCAAUCUCUGCUUUCAUUGUCACAUUGCUUUUUCCUCUUCUAUUCAUAUCAAAUCUCCUUUUGCCUUUUUUUAAAAUAAGGAUACUCUUGAUUGCAAUUAGAGACCACCCAACUAAACCAGACUAAUCUUCACAUUUUAAGAUACUUUAUUUAAUUCUAUCCAGUAUCUUUUACCUUACAAGACAACAUUAACGAGUCCUAGGAAUUAGGACCUGAAAUCUUUGGAUGGCCAUUAUUCAACCUACUGUAAGAUAUUAAAGCAUUUGACACACAUCGUGUUGCAACCAAAAUAUUUAACAACCACUGCAGGUAUCAAUAAAUAAGGAUGGGUGCUGAUUAUAAGUAUUCAGAAUGGUGCUUUUGGCUGAAUAGCAGCCCUACACUUAGCAUAUGCCACGACCUUGAGCAUGUAGUAUACACUGAGUAAAUUUUUUUAAAAAUUUUUUUUGACAAGGCAGAGUUAGAGAGAGAGAGAGAGAGAGAGAGAGAGAGAAAGGUCUUCCUUUUCCCAUUGGUUCACCCCCCAAAUGGCUGCUACGGCUGACAUGCUGUGCUGAUCCGAAGCCAGGAGCCAGGUGCUUCCUCCUGGUCUCCCAUGUGGAUGCAGGGCCCAAGCACUUGGGCCAUCCUCCACUGCCUUCCCUGGGCCACAGUAGAGAGCUGGACUGGAAGAGGAGCAACUGGGACAGAACCAGCACCCCAACCGGGACUAGAAGCUGGUGUGCUGGCGCCACAGGCGGAGGAUUAGCCUAUUGAGCUGCGGCGCCAGCUGCGAGAGCCAACUUUAAUAAGUCAUGUCUAUUUCCUCUUUUCAAAUGGCUUGUCUUCUGCUUAUUUCUGCUUGUCUAUUUGAGUACUUCAUAUGUAGAAAAUACUAACAUUGCCAUAUUUAUGAGAAAUAUUGUUUGUAUUAUAGUGUAUUAAUCUUUUCUAAAUCUUAUGCUUGUUUUUAGAUAUUUUAAUCUUUGUCUUGAAAUACAUCUAAAAUGAAAAUGUGACUUAGAAUGUAUCAAACUUAAUGAAAUAAAUAUAUUGAUAUAUACUAACUAGAUUUUUUUAACAUUUAUUUGAAAGGCAGAGAUACAAAGAGAGAGAGGCAUUGAGAGAGAGAAAUAUUCCAUCUGCUGAUUUAUCUUGAAAUGGUCGCAACAGCCGUGACUGGGCCAACCCCAAGCCAGAAGCAACUUCCGGGUCUCCAGAGUGGACGCAAGGGCCCAAGUACUUGGGCCAUCUUCUGCUGCUUUCUCAGGCACAUUAACAGGGAGCUAGAUUGGAAAGUGGAACAGCCAGAACUUGAACCAGUGCCCAUUUGGGAUGCCAGUGCUGCAGGCAGCGGCUUUCCCCACCACACCAGAGCUCUGGCGCCUUAACUAUGCUUUUUAAAAAGCAAUAUUCUUUUUCCUUAAAGUUUUUCCUUUGCAAAGAAAUGAAACCCCCAUGUUUAACCUCAAACAUAAGUAAAUUCUCCAUGGCCAGUUUUAUUACGCUUAAGUGAACACAUGUAAAAUAAAGAUGUUAAAGUUAAAUUGAA